UACGUAGGGUGCAAGCGUUAAUCGGAAUUACUGGGCGUAAAGCGUGCGCAGGCGGUUGUGCAAGACAGAUGUGAAAUCCCCGGGCUUAACCUGGGAAUGGCAUUUGUGACUGCACGGCUAGAGUGUGUCAGAGGGGGUAGAAUUCCACGUGUAGCAGUGAAAUGCGUAGAUAUGUGGAGGAAUACCGAUGGCGAAGGCAGCCCCCUGGGAUAACACUGACGCUCAUGCACGAAAGCGUGGGGAGCAAACAGG
rnacentral:rRNA from 1 species